GGGAGCGAGGGAGGGAAGGAGGGCAUGUAGGCAGAAAGGACUUUUUCUCCUCUCCAUAGUAACAAUGACAAAACAAGCCAGUUGAAGUCCAGGAAGGAGCAGGGAUGAUUGCAGCUGUGUGGAAAAGGAGACGGACCGGUUCAGAGCAGAUUCCUACGUUGGAGUGAAAGGAACAGGGGCAACAGGGGCAACAGGAGCAGAAGAAGAUCCUGGAAGUUUGCAGGGAUUGUUUUCCAUCACAGAAACUUGCAAGUGGAGCAACACGUGACAGGCUUGCACCCUUCAUACCCCCUCGGCAUGGACCGGGACAGUCACAGCGAGGACUCUCUGUCCACCAUGGUUCUGGAGAACAUUAAGAACAAACUCAUACAUGCCUUCAGGGUGACAGGAGAGUCCAGAGAAGAUCCUCAAGACUCUGGAUCCACUGUCAGACCAGUCAGCAUUGGCCGGAACUUCCAGGCCAAUGAGGAGCUGAGGAGGGCGCAGAUAGAUGGAGCAAUAACCUGGCUGAGGUCUGAGCUGCUGGAGAUGCGCUCACAGGACCUGCAGCUGGCUCAGACUCUGCUGGGGCUCAACACAGAGAUCCAAAGACUGAGGAGGGAGAGUUUUGGAGGUGUGGAAGUAGAGGGGGAGGAUCAGCAGUAGCCUCCCCUGUCAGACACAUCCUUCUCUGGGGAAGACCUACGAUUAACUGGAGGAAGAACAGGUAGAAAAAUGCUCUCACUGGAAACCUCGUGAUGGACAAGAAAAAUGAAACCCAUUGAUUGGAUUGUGAUAACGCUAACAGUUACAUGUAAAGUCACCACCAUAGAGAGUGAUCAAGUGUGUAAGUUAGACUUUUCUUGUUUGCACUUUUGCAGUUCUGCUAAAGAACUGUUUUGUUUCUGUGGAAGAAUGAGAAACAAGACAGUUUGAAUGUAAAGAUGAAGUAAAAAAUAAAUAAAGAAAGAACACAGCAUCAGUGUAUUUUUGAUGUCUUUAUUCUGCUGCAGUACAGUACCUCAAUUAAAGUCAAAUACGUUUAAAAGGAAACAUUCACAUCUCAUUGGAAACAAUUUCCAACGUGUACAGUUUGUACAUUCUUUCUGUACAUCAGCACUUUAACUUUAAUAAUUCCUCCUAAAGGUCUCGUCGAUAAUGUCUUACUGUCAUCACAAUGUUUCAUCCAGGUUCAUGGAAUUCAUUCAUUCAUUCGUGCAUUACAGUCAUAAAAGGGCACAGAGCUUCUCCUGCUGAACACCUGCUUAGAUAAAAGCCUGGUGUGACGUGAUGGAGGCGUCUUCAGGAGAGAGGAGACAGCUCCUGCUUCAGCUCCUGGAUGCCGGAGUGAAGCUCCAUCAGCUGCCGGAUCAGGACCUGGUCUUGGGAACGCAUUUCCAUCUGUGUACAGAGAACACAUUGAUUUAGUUCAGAGGUGUUAGUUUGGAUUUAGUGAUAUGUAGUGCUGUCGGUUUGAAUCCCCACCAGGUCAGGGGCUGGGGUGCCCCUGAGCAAGGUACUUAAUCCCCAUUGUUCACUGUUAAUUGAGCCCUGUCACUGGGUGAGGUGUGCACAUCCAGGCCUGGAUAAUGCAUCAAACAUGCAGAUCAUCGUCUGUGGCGACACCUAAAGAGAAAGUGGAUAUAGUGAUAACUAGAAAUAUGAUAUAAUAAAGGAAUUCAUGAGAAACAGAAAGUCUUUGCAGUGGACCAGUUUGAGGCUCAGCGUGAAACCACCUCUUUCUUAGUGAAGGUUGAAUAAUUACUGCCACUGUAAAAUAACAUAUUUGGAAUUCAGAGUCUAAGUCUGAUCUAGAGAGAGAGGAAUGUCCCUUCUAGUCCAAUCUGCUUUUCUCUUCUCUCGGAAUUACAGAUACUGGUCCUUUGUCAAGACGUGAGAGAAAUGACAGGAAACAUGAGCUUUUCCUCAGAGGCAGCUGGACAUGAUUCAAGCUCCAGUUCCUCAGGUUACCAGCCUUUUUUCUUUUUACAUCUUGUGUACAGAAUGUACUUCUUUGCAAAUGCACAUGUGCCUUUUAACGUGAACUCCAGUCUGUGGACGGCUGAACAUCAGCCAGCUCUACGACAGUACUCGCUCACCACAGACAUAAAGCUGGAAAUAAAACGUCAAAGGAAUGACAUUAGUCAUUAGUUUUACUUCACUUUAUUCAUCAUACAAAAUGCUAAAAGCAGCUGCUGAGGAACCUUUCCACAGUUACUUAAAGUGGGAUUAAACUACUUCUUGUAAAGUUAAUUCCACCUAAAAUCCAUACCUGAUUUUGAAGAAUGCUAAGAAGUGGGCUGAGAACUGAGUGAGGAGAGUGGGGAUCAGUGAGGGGGCGUGGUCUGAUGAAAUAACUGAGCAACAACUUCUGCAUUUUAAAAAGGGGGGAGGAGUCUGGGACAGGCAAUAGCAAAUGAAGGCAAUAGCAAAGUUUUAAAGCAGUAGCUGGUGUUUGGCCAGAGAGGUUAAGGUAACCUAGGUAACCCAGGUAACCCAGGUAACCCGUACCAGAAUAUGUAUCAUUUCAAUUCUUUACACUAAACUGUGAAGAUUUGCAUCCGAAUCAACACAAAGUGUCCAUUAGUUUCCCAUGUACACUGGUUUACACCUGAAGUGUUUUGGUUACAAUUUUGUAAGUCAUUUUGAGAGUACACUGACAUGUG